rnacentral:tRNA from 1 species
AUUUAAGUAGCUUAAUUUAAAGCAGUACUUUGAAGCAGUAAAGAUAAUUAUUUCUUGAAUA